CGAGCGGGCGGGUCGAUCGCUGGUCAGGUCAAACUGACUGGAGGAAAGUCCGGGCUCCGUAGGACAGGAUGGUCGAUAACGUCGACCGGCCGCGAGGCUAGGGAAAGUGCAGCAGAGAAUAGACCGCCGAACGGUCCGCCAACGGUGGAUGCGUGGUAAGGGUGAAACGGUGCGGUAAGAGCGCACCAGCGACCGAGGUGACUCGGUCGGCUUGGUAAACCCCAUCCGGAGCUAGACCAAACAGAAUGAAGCGGCGGUCCGUCGCGCAAAAGAACAUUCGGGUAGGUCGCAGUGGAGGCGACGAGCAAUCGUCGUGCAAAGAUAAAUGAUCGUCGUCGCGGCAGGGCUCGCCUUACCGCGGCACAGAACCCGGCUUACAAGCCCACUCGCAAU
rnacentral:RNase_P_RNA from 1 species